rnacentral:rRNA from 1 species
UACGUAGGGUGCGAGCGUUGUCCGGAAUUAUUGGGCGUAAGGAGCUCGUAGGCGGUGUGUCACGUCGGCCGUGAAAACCUGGGGCUUAACUCUGGGCGUGCGGUCGAUACGGGCAUCACUAGAGUUCGGUAGGGGAGUCUGGAAUUCCUGGUGUAGCGGUGAAAUGCGCAGAUAUCAGGAGGAACACCGGUGGCGAAGGCGGGACUCUGGGCCGAUACUGACGCUGAGGAGCGAAAGCGUGGGGAGCAAACAGG